rnacentral:misc_RNA from 1 species
CAACACCACCAAGCCAGCAAUUGCCCAUAUAUAGUUAUCAGCAGCUUGGUCUAAUAACGGUGUAAUAAACAGCAUUGUUGCCACCCAAAGCAAGAACACUGCGCAUUGUUUUAUUCCCAUAUAUUUUUCUCUCACAUACAAACAGGAGGCCAGCAUGAAUUAAUACCAACUAACCCCUUUACUUUUGAUUAAUAACAUA